rnacentral:miRNA from 1 species
AAAAAUUAAAUCUCUCUCUCUCUCUCUCUCUCUCUCUCUAUAUAUAUAUAUAUAUAUAUAUAUAGAGAGAGAGAGAGAGAGAGAGAGAGACAUUAUAUAAG